rnacentral:rRNA from 1 species
CGGCGAGUGAAGCGACAAAAGCUCAAAUUUGAAAUCUGGCACCUUCGGUGUCCGAGUUGUAAUUUGAAGAAGGUAACUUUGGAGUUGGCUCUUGUCUAUGUUCCUUGGAACAGGACGUCACAGAGGGUGAGAAUCCCGUGCGAUGAGAUGUCCAACUCUAUGUAAAGUGCUUUCGAAGAGUCGAGUUGUUUGGGAAUGCAGCUCUAAGUGGGUGGUAAAUUCCAUCUAAAGCUAAAUAUUGGCGAGAGACCGAUAGCGAACAAGUACAGUGAUGGAAAGAUGAAAAGAACUUUGAAAAGAGAGUGAAAAAGUACGUGAAAUUGUUGAAAGGGAAGGGUUUGAGAUCAGACUUGGUAUUUUGUAUGUCUUGCUUUCGGGUGGGGCCUCUGCAGUUUACUGGGCCAGCAUCGGUUUGGACGGUAGGAUAAUGACAUUGGAAUGUGGCACUACUUCGGUGGUGUGUUAUAGACUUUGUUGAUACUGCCUGUCUAGACCGAGGACUGCGUCUUUGACUAGGAUGCUGGCAUAAUGAUCCUAAACCGC